rnacentral:rRNA from 1 species
GACGAACGCUGGCGGCGUGCUUAACACAUGCAAGUCGAACGAAGAGCGAUGGAAGCUUGCUUCUAUCAAUCUUAGUGGCGAACGGGUGAGUAACGCGUAAUCAACCUGCCCUUCAGAGGGGGACAACAGUUGGAAACGACUGCUAAUACCGCAUACGAUCUAAUCUCGGCAUCGAGGAUAGAUGAAAGGUGGCCUCUACAUGUAAGCUAUCACUGAAGGAGGGGAUUGCGUCUGAUUAGCUAGUUGGAGGGGUAACGGCCCACCAAGGCGAUGAUCAGGAGCCCGUCUGGGGAGGUGGACGGCCCCAAUUGGAAUGGAGCACGGCCCAGGCUCCUACGGGGAGCAGCCGUGGGGGAUCUUCCGCCAUGGGCGGAAGUCUGGCCGGGCCACGCCCCGUUGGUGGUGGCGGCCUUCCGGUUGUUAAACUCUGUUAAUCGGGGAGGAAGGCCUUCUUGCGAAUAGUGGGAAGGAUUGACGGUACCGGAAUAGAAAGCCACGGCUAACUACGUG